GGAUAGUGUUUCGGUGGUUAGAAAAUUUAAGGAUUUAAAAUAUCAUGGGUUAGGGGUUUUAAGAAAUACCCAAGUUCUAUAGUUUAGCGCCUUUGUUCUUAUUAGGAUUCUUCAACUUUGAUUUGGAUCAAUUUUGGGUCUGCAUGUUGCAAUUGAGGUUAAAAUUCUAAAGUUUUAUAAAUCUUUGAUUGAUUGAUCAAGUUUACGGUAUAGAUGAUGUAAGAAUUUGUCGCCAAGGGUUUGAGAGAAGGGUGUUUUCACAGGAAUUGAAGCUCUGGCUCUCGGUUGUGAGUUCCAUAAAUAUUUGAUUGUGCAAAUAUACAAUUAUUUGUAUUUUUUAUCGAUGAUCAAAAUGUGAUCAUAAUCAAUAUUUAUAUAUAGAUAAAUAACUGAAAGUUUUAGUUCUAGAGAUGGAAUAGGUAUGAGUGGUUAUUGAAAUCUGUUCUGUUGUGUUUUUUCUGCAGGAGAAGCAAGAAAUUACAAUUGAAAAAGCCAUGCGUAAUAAGCGGAAAUGUAUCACCACUGUGAAGGGGAUGCAACUUUUUGCGGAGUUCAAAGUCAAGAGGGAAAGAAAGCACAGAUUCCGGUUCACAAUUGAACAGUGCAAUUAAAUUCAGAGAUUGUUGGGACUUCUCAGGUUGAUUGCGACCUGGGUAAUCAGAAAAAAAAAAGAAGUGACUUUCUGGAGGAGAGUCCGACAAUACCAAACAAAAAUCCAAAAUUGCUCUUCAAAAGAUGGGUUAAGUGUAAAGUCAUUCAAUCAGUUCUUUUAUAUUCCCGGCUUUUAUUUGCAUAUGUUUUUUAUUUCUCAUAUUUUCAUUUUUGUGCAAUUAAUUUACUACUGUGUAAAUAUAUUGGAAGAUUUUUUUUGAAGUGAAAAUUGCCUUCUUUUUUUUUCUUCUCA